GGGUUCAGUGGCAGAGCAUCUGCUAGGCAAGCAGAAGAUCCAGGUUCAAUCCCUGGCAUCUCCA
rnacentral:tRNA from 1 species